UUAACGCGAAGAACCUUACCUGGGCUUGACAUGUAAUGAACAACAUGUGAAAGCAUGCGACUCUUCGGAGGCGUUACACAGGUGCUGCAUGGCCGUCGUCAGCUCGUGUCGUGAGAUGUUUGGUUAAGUCCAGCAACGAGCGCAACCCCUGUUGCCAGUUACCAGCACGUGAAGGUGGGGACUCUGGCGAGACUGCCCAGAUCAACUGGGGGGAAGGUGGGGACGACGUCAGGUCAGUAUGGCCCUUAUGCCCAGGGCUGCACACGUACUACAAUGCCCAGUACAGAGGGGGCCGAAGCCGCGAGGCGGAGGAAAUCCUAAAAACUGGGCCCAGUUCGGACUGUAGGCUGCAACCCGCCUACACGAAGCCGGAAUCGCUAGUAAUGGCGCAUCAGCUACGGCGCCGUGAAUACGUUCCCGGGUCUUGUACACACGC
rnacentral:rRNA from 1 species